rnacentral:tRNA from 1 species
AAAUUCUCAAAAUUAAUGAAUUAAAAAUUAAUAUUAAAUUUUCUCCUAAAAAAAC